CCGAAAGACCCAGACCGCCAGCGGCCCCGGGCAGCCGCCGAGGGCACCGGCUCACACUUCCUGCAUUUCACAAGCUCUUGCUUGGCAUGCAUUGAUGACUUGAACUGGGGGGUUAACCCAAAAAGAUCAAGUGCGAGCUCAAGGCGGAUGAUGAGAACAGAUUCGGGGCUGGUUAACCUCAGAGAGCGGGAGUCCGUUGGUGCUAAUGAGGCCAAGGGAGCCCGGCUCCUUUCUGCCCCCAGGCAGGUGAGAAAGAAAGAACGGAGACGAAAGAGGGCCCGCUGUGUCUACUCCUCUUGGCCCAGAAGCCCAGCUGGACCCUGAGGCCACAAACUGCCCCCUACUGGAGAAAUCGCUGCAGGAUUUCUCCUCCAUCAAAUCGCUGUGUCAGAGCCAGUUGGGGGCUUUUAAAAGACGCCCACGCUCAGGCCCGCACCAGGCCACCUACACUGGAAUAUCUGAGGCUAAGUCCCAAGCUAGAAUUUCCCAUCUUCUUUCUGGCCUUGGGAGAUUUUGCAUCUCCUUCCAGGGAAGGAAGCCUGACUUCUGAAAUGAUUCUCACGAAGGAGAAGUGCUCCGUUCUGCAGUGAGCCUGGCCAGGGGGGCCACACCACAGACUCCCAGGAGGCUUCUGCUCUGCGUGGUUCUUCUGCUCUCGUUUCCUUAACGAUUGGGCCAGAGCAUCUCUGCUCUUGUAAAAUAGCAGGCAAUUAGAUCUCGAAGUCUUUGAAGUGGGCAGAUUCACCAGGCGUUGGACUGAAGUUUCUAUUUGUCCUGGCACUGAGAAUAGCAAAGGAACAGGGGGACUGAACUGGUAUGGAAAGAGGCAUAGAGAGGUGAAGUCUCUUGCUGAUAUCUUCUAGACCGGGCUGGCUGCAGGGUCUGUUGCUCUCAACCAGAGGAAAUAGAACCAUGAAAGAACAAGGGAGCCAGUUGCCAUGUCAUGGGGAGGACACUCAGGCAGCCCCGUGGGGAGACUCAUGUGAGGAGGAACUGAGAUGUCUUGCCAACAUCCAUAUGAGGGAGCCAUCUUGUAAAUGAAUCUUCCAGUCCCAAUCAAGUCUUCAGAUGACCAGAGCCUCAGCUGAUAACUUGGCUGCAGCCUCAUGAGAGAUCCUGAGCCAGAACCACUCAGCCAAGGUGUUCCUAGAUUCCUGCCUCUCAAAAACUGUGUGAGAUAAUAGAUGCUUAUUGUUUAAAGUUGUUUAGGGUAACUCAUUGUGUAGCAAUAGAUAGCUGAAACAGGAGGCUCUACAUUUACUCUUUUUUUUUUUUUUUCUUGGAGACAGAGUCUUGCUGUGUCACCCAGGCUGGAGUGCAGUGGGGCAAUCUCCGCUCAUUGCAAUCUGCGCCUCCCUGGUUCAAGCAAUUCUCAUGCCUCAGCUUCCCGGGUAGCUGGGACUACAGGAGUGCGCCACCAUGUCCAGCUAAUUAUUUUGUAUAUUUAGUAGAGACAGGGUUUCACCAUGUUGGCCAGGCUGGUCUCAAACUCCUGACCUCAAGUGAUCUGCCUGCCUUGGCCUCCCAAAGUGCUGGGAUUACAGGCAUGAGCCACUGCACCCAGCCUACCUUUAUUCUUAAAAUGCCAUAAAUGCACAGAGUGUUUUGAGGAGUCUUUUAUCCCAAAGUAUUCCAACUAUAUUUCUUUUAAAAAUUUAGGGCAAUUAAGGCAUUUUAAUGCAUGUGACCCUCCCCGCCCCACAUUCCCCCACCCUUCAUUAUUUCAAACUGGAGUGGUCUUUUGAAUUUUUUCCUGAACGUGUUUCCAGAAAGUUUAUACCAAGUAAAACAGCUAUAUCCAAGUUCCUAGUAAUUAUUACAGCAAUUACAAGGGUUCCAAGCCUAAUAAAGUAAUCUAAGGGCAGGAGGUUUGGAGGUAUGGUUAUUUCUUGGCAUUCUUCUAAUGACAGCCUGGAGCUGAGUAGCAUCUUGGCAGUUGUCUACUGUUUGAAUACGUUAGACUGCUCCCAACUCUGUCACUUGCUAACUGUGUGACCUUGGGCAAAUGAUCGAACUCUCUGUGCCUUAAUUGCAUAUAAAUUUUAGAAUCUAAUUAUGAUACCUGCUCUGUGGAAUCCUGGGGAAGAUUAAAAUGAGAUGUGGUAGAGCAUGGUGCUUAUAAGCAUUGAACCAAAUUGCCUGAGUUUGAGUCCUAGCUCCAGUGACUUUUCUAGCUGUAUGAUCUUGGGAAUGUUACCUAAUCUCCUUGUGCCUCAAUAUUCCACAUACAUAAAAUGGGGUGAGGUGGGGAAACGGUGCUUACCUCCUGUGACUGUCAUGAGAAUUAAAUGGAGCCAAUUCAUAUACUAUUCCCGGUACACAGUAAGUAGCAUAUGGCAAGGAUGCUAGGUAUAGUUGUGCAGGUUGUUCACUGUUCAAGGGCUCCAACCUGAGAGGUCAAGUGAGGGCUUGCCAGGCCAUACGCUUUGGUAUGAGGUUGCCUACCUAGAGGUGGCGCUGUUUUCUAGUUUGUACCAGGCCCUAUAUCAGCCAGCUGUCAGCAUAAGGGUUUGUAGUAUCCAGCAACCACUACCUUAAUACUAUCUUUAGGCUUUAGGCUGAUGUUCACUGAGCGCAUGCCAGUUUUAUUAUAACUGUUACUUGGUAGCUUCCUGGAGUUCUCCAGGAUAACAUCAGUGGGAUGUGUAUAUCCCAAACCUUGCCAUUACCAUUCAGAUACAAUGCUGAAAAUCAAAUAAAAAAUAUUAGCAAGGUAAAAAGUUUAAAAUCCUGCAGGACAAUAUUAUAUAUUGCUUAGGCAUACAUACAGGUUUGGUUCAAGUAUAGAAAAAUGCAUAAGAAUGAUAAACCCCACAUCUGGAUAAUGGGUUACCUGGGGUGGGGAGGAAGCGGAAUUAGAAAGGGAUGAAGGAAGCUUCGGCUCUAUUCAUAAUUUAUUUCUUCAGCUUAAUGGUGGCUACAUAAGUGUUUAUUAUUUUUUAAUCUUAAAUAUUUAAAAAUAAUGUAUAAUUAAUACUAUUAAAUAAGACCCGUCUUUUUAUGUAAAAACUAAUUUUGCAUUUCUCUCAUUAGUCUCUGUUAAAUAUUAAAUCAGUACAUUGAUUGGGAAUGACAGAAUCAAGCAAUCAUUCAUUCAACAAGUGUUUACUUGUUGAAUGAUAGGAUGUUCAAAGAGCUAAGAACUUCAUCCAUACGCUGUAAUACUUAGAACGCUUGUAACAUUUAUAAUAACCUGUUUGGUUAUUUGACUAUGUUUUCUUUUUUCUGUGAGAGCAGAGUCUCUGUCUUAUUCAUAUUUAAGAAUUCUGCUCUGUAAUAGGUGAUAAAUAAAUGUUAAUUUAAACCGAAUGAAACAUAAAUAUGACUAUUAUUGUCCUGAAAGGGCUUUCAAUACACUAGGAUAAUGCAGGUCAUAAGUGCCAUAAAUGAAGAGCAAAGUGAAUUCACUUAUGCAUUCAUUCGUUUGAAAACCAUUUACUCGGCAUCUGUUAGGUACUGAGCAUAUGACUAUAAACAAGAGAAACACAGACUUUGGUUUUUACAGGGCCCACUUCUCACCACUUUCAUCACUGUCUAACUGGCCUAUGCUGCCAGCAUCUUUUGUUUGGAUGGUUG
rnacentral:lncRNA from 10 species